CUACGUGCCAGCAGCCGCGGUAAUACGUAGGGUGCGAGCGUUAAUCGGAAUUACUGGGCGUAAAGCGGGCGCAGACGGUUACUUAAGCAGGAUGUGAAAUCCCCGGGCUCAACCUGGGAACUGCGUUCUGAACUGGGUGACUAGAGUGUGUCAGAGGGAGGUAGAAUUCCACGUGUAGCAGUGAAAUGCGUAGAGAUGUGGAGGAAUACCGAUGGCGAAGGCAGCCUCCUGGGAUAACACUGACGUUCAUGCCCGAAAGCGUGGGUAGCAAACAGGAUUAGAUACCCUGGUAGUCCACGCCCUAAACGAUGUCGAUUAGCUGUUGGGCAGCUCGACUGCUUAGUAGCGAAGCUAACGCGUGAAAUCGACCGCCUGGGGAGUACGGUCGCAAGAUUAAAACUCAAAGGAAUUGACGGGGACCCGCACAAGCGGUGGAUGAUGUGGAUUAAUUCGAUGCAACGCGAAGAACCUUACCUGGUCUUGACAU
rnacentral:rRNA from 1 species